rnacentral:rRNA from 1 species
AUUGAACGCUGGCGGCAUGCCUUACACAUGCAAGUCGAACGGUAACAGGUUAAGCUGACGAGUGGCGAACGGGUGAGUAAUAUAUCGGAACGUGCCCAGUCGUGGGGGAUAACGUAGCGAAAGCUACGCUAAUACCGCAUACGAUCUACGGAUGAAAGCGGGGGAUCGCAAGAACUAGCGCGAUUGGAGCGGCCGAUAUCAGAUUAGGGUGUUGGUGAGGUAAAAGCUCACCAAGCCGGCGAUCUGUAGCUUGUCUGAGAGGACGACCAGCCACACUGGAACUGGGACACGGUCCAGACUCCUACGGGAGGCAGCAGUGGGGAAUUUUGGACAAUGGACGCAAGUCUGAUCCAGCAAUGCCGCGUGCAGGACGAAGGCCUUCGGGUUGUAAACUGCUUUUGUACGGAACGAAACGGUGAGCUCUAAUACAGUUUGCUAAUGACGGUACCGUAAGAAUAAGCACCGGCUAACUACGUGCCAGCCGCCGCAGUAA